GAUGAACGCUGGCGGCGUGCCUAAUACAUGCAAGUCGAGCGAACAGACGAGGAGCUUGCUCCUCUGACGUUAGCGGCGGACGGGUGAGUAACACGUGGAUAACCUACCUAUAAGACUGGGAUAACUUCGGGAAACCGGAGCUAAUACCGGAUAAUAUAUUGAACCGCAUGGUUCAAUAGUGAAAGACGGUUUUGCUGUCACUUAUAGAUGGAUCCGCGCCGCAUUAUCUAGUUGGUAAGGUAACGGCUUACCAAGGCAACGAUGCGUAGCCGACCUGAGAGGGGGAUCGGCCACACUGGAACUGAGACACGGUCAAGACUCCUACGGGAGGCAGCAGUAGGGAAUAUUCCGCAAUGGGCGAAAGCAUGACGGAGCAACGCCGCGUGAGAGAUGAAGGUCUUCGGAUCGUAAAACUCUGUUAUUAGGGAAGAACAAAUGUGUAAGUAACUAUGCACGUCUUGACGGUACCUAAUCAGAAAGCCACGGCUAACUACGUG
rnacentral:rRNA from 1 species